rnacentral:rRNA from 1 species
GGGAUAUUGGACAAUGGGGGGAACCCUGAUCCAGCGACGCCGCGUGAGUGAAGAAGUAUUUCGGUAUGUAAAGCUCUGUCAGCAGGGAAGAAAGAAAUGACGGUACCUGACCAAGAAGCCCCGGCUAACUACGUGCCAGCAGCCGCGGUAAUACGUAGGGGGCAAGCAUUAUCCGGAUUUACUGGGUGUAAAGGGAGCGUAGACGGUGCAGCAAGUCUGAUGUGAAAGGUCGGGGCCCAACCCCGGGACUGCAUUGGAAACUGUUGAACUGGAGUACAGGAGAGGUAAGCGGAAUUCCUAGUGUAGCGGUGAAAUGCGUAGAUAUUAGGAGGAACACCAGUGGCGAAGGCGGCUUACUGGACUGUAACUGACGUUGAGGCUCGAAAGCGUGGGGAGCAAAC